UAGGGAAUCUUCGGCAAUGGGGGGCAACCCUGACCGAGCAACGCCGCGUGAGUGAAGAAGGUUUUCGGAUCGUAUAGCUCUGUUGUAAGAGAAGAACGUGUGUGAGAGUGGAAAGUUCACACAGUGACGGUAACUUACCAGAAAGGGACGGCUAACUACGUGCCUG
rnacentral:rRNA from 1 species